rnacentral:misc_RNA from 1 species
ACACUGGUGCCGUGCCAUAACCAAGCUUGCGUGUUUGUCUCCCCACUGUAUAUCUACGUGUAAAUCUCGUGCAUCUGACCUACACAUGCUGACAAACUGCCGAGAGGGGGACGGAGAACGGAGGGAACCCAUCAGUAGUGGACACGAACAUGUGACAGUAACUGGGCCCCUCCUUCCGACCCCUGAAGAGGACUUUACCACAUAAUAUGACCCGACGUUACUCCCGGGACCUCGGCAGUUCGGUAAUACCCAGAAGCACAUCCGGUCACCACAGUACUGACUUAGGCGACGCCAUCUUGGUCUUGUAUCUUCAAUAGAAUGCGUCGUCGAAGUUACUCUGUUAAUUCUUCACGUCCCAGCUUUAAUGAUGCCUCUACUUCCGGCAUAUCACGACCAGAUAGCCUUAGUCUCUCUACUUCCGGUUCCGGUUACCGGUCAGCUUCCACUAGUGGACGUGUAACAGGUUUCGGUGCUGGACCAUCUGGUAAUAGCACUGCCAAUUCUGGGGUGACCUUUAAUACCGGUGCCUACAAAAGCACCGGUGGCGGGAAAUCCUUAGGCAGCGGGUACCACUCCAGUACAGGACACAGUAGUGAAACGCCACAACUCUAUGGCAGUAGGAGUAUAGCAGGUCCUGGUCGCAGUUAUGGUGGAGUCCGGGCCGGAACUAACGUCGCUAGUCUACUAGCGGUUCCACGUGCCCGUAGUAAUAGCGGUGUUCACGUUCCUAGUAUCGGGAGUGCCCGUGUUAGCUCAAGUGUCGGACCUAGAAUCCUAAGUGGGCGGUCAUCUGAUUCCAAGGUUGAUAACAUUAGAAAGUCUCCGGUCAGUCCGUCGUCAUACGACCGAGGGUACGGUAGCAUCGCCAGCAGCCGCAGUCAUGGCUCGCUUUACGACAACAUGGGGUCCGGAAAGGGCUAUGGCGGAUCUACCAGUAGGUACAGCAGCGGCCUAGGGACCAGUAGCUAUCUCAGUCCGACGUACGGCUCGCAAAACAAAAGCGGGUCGUCCUACGGGUCACCAACAAAAACCUACUCAUCAGGCUACCAACAACCCUCGUCAUCCGGGUCUCGAUACGGGUACGGCGGCGGUUCUGUCCGAGACCGGAUACAGAAAAUUUCGUCAGCGGAGACACCGCGCAGCACGGGCAAAGAUACCGGAACCAGUAUGUAUACUCCAUUAAGUAGUAGAGGGACCACACAGACAAGGGGAGACCAGUACGGAAGCGGAGGCGGAUACGACAAAUAUUCAUCACGGAGUGCGGGGUCUGACCCUUAUGGUAGCAAAUCUGGAUAUUUGUCAGACUAUGGUGGUAGUACAAGGUCAUAUAGUUCUUGGGACCGAGGGUCGUCAAGAUCAGGUCGCAGUUACGGAACUGCUAGCAGAGAAACAUCCCCUGUGAGUCAGCGAUCGUCACGAUAUGACUACGGUACCAAGGCUGCCACUCCGUCUCCGUACAGCACUUACAAAAGUAGUUCAGAGGUGUCGCCACCAGUAAACCGAAAGUACGACCGCCAGGCGUCACGAUCAUCGGACGUAGAAUAUUCUGCUAGGGACAGGGGUGACAGGUAUGAAAAGAGGCGGUCAUCACGUGACUUUAUCCGCCCGCCUCCUCGGAAGAAAGUUUCCGUGUCCUCCGACAGUGAUGAGGACGACAGUGCUCCCGAGGCGGAGAAAGAUGGCUUCAAGGGUCGGUACCUCAUAUCGAGGGGAACUUCACCGAUGCCUGAAAACGAAGCCCCAAAACGAGAUUUACGAUAUAGAAAGGACAAAAAGUCAGUUUCGCGGACCAAACGUAUUAGGCCACUGAGCAACAGAGACUCCCGGCGUGAGAGUCGAUAUCGGGACUACCGCAAUCCUACUCUCGUUGAUUGCUCUACUCAAACACACAUGGACCAACCCACCUCUCGCCGAAGUCGGCACUCGUCUGGCAGCUACGGCGGCGAAGUGAGCGGUGACCUGAGGGACAAGGCGGCGAUGGCUGCCUUGGCCUUGAUAGACAGUGGAGGUGGGGAUGGCAAAGACGAUUCGUUCUACAAGUAUCGAGAUAAGUUUGACAAAAACAAACAACCAAUGUCACCAGGUUAUAACGCGACGGAUAGUCCGAGGAGUAAACGAUUUUCGUAUCGCGAUACAUCAGCAAAAGACGAAUCAUUAGGGGAGAUUCCUCCCGAAAAAUCAUGGCGUCAGUCCGUGUACGGUACCUCAACGCCAAUGAAGAAAUCCGAGGAGGAAGAAGUACCAAGACGACGACGCCGGCAGCUUUCUAAUGUAGAGCCUGACUAUGAAAAUGUCGAAGAGGAUUCGAGGCCAAGCUCACGUCGGGGUGAAAGACGCUCCCAGGGAUCGGACAGGGACCGGCGCUCACAGCGUGAGAUGGCUCAGGAUUACAGUCGCUCCAACUCCCGGGACAGUCUUCUUGACGACAAACCCGCGCGGAGGCGGAGGCAUGGUAGUAAGGAGCUUCUGGAUGCACCUCCUGAACCGGAAGUUAUUGUCCAUACUCCGGAAGAGGUUCCGGUACAGCGACGAAGGCGGCACGGAAGUAAAGAACUACUGGAUGAUCCUGCUGAGUCACUGACUCCAGAGACCAUUUCGUUAAGAGACAGUAUUGAGAAAGUUCAGCAAUGGAAACAAAACCUACCGAAUCCAGACCCGUACUAUGAGGACCAUCCUCCUCCACAGCCUCAACCGCCGACUAGGCAUCUCGAGACUGGCUUCCCAAGGAGUGAUUCAGGCGAGUAUUUUUCUGCUCACGACUACCCUGUGAAUCCAAAUUCUAGACCAAAUGACGGUAAGGUCAUGUCUCCUGACAGAGGCAGGGGAAGAGACUCUCGUGGGUCGGGAAAUUAUGGUCGUGAGCAGGAGCAUGCUCCAUACCGUGAUGACUCCCCGGGGAGACAAAGGAGGCAAUAUCGACGCGAUGACUCGCACGAUAAUGUGUUUUCUGGUGACGAUGAGUUAGAUGGACAUUAUCGCAAAAAGGAACAUCGCAAGUCAGACCUGAACAGGGCCGAUGGUGAACACUACGCAAUCACCCGUGACGAGUCUCCCAACAGGUUGCGUCGCUCACACAGACCACCCUCUGGCGAUGGUGUACGGCGUUUGACGCGAGAAGGAUCAAGGGAAGACAAUCUAGAUGAUAGAAAGACAAGGAGGGAUGACCAUGAUCGUGGACACACAAGCGAUAGCUCUCAGUUUGGAUUUAAUCGGGAAAGUUCGCCAAAUCGGUCACAUCCACAGAAGAAGCCCGGGAGUAGACCAAACUCUCGGGAAAGCAUACUAGACGAAGGUCGUGUUCGACGAAGCACCUCCCGUGAGGGCAUGCUGGAUGAAGGUAAAGUGCGACGGAGCAAUUCACGUGAGGGUAUGUUGGAUGAAGGUAAAGUGCGGCGAAGCAAUUCACGUGAGGGCAUGCUGGAUGAAUGUAAAGUGCGGCGAAGCAAUUCACGUGAGGGCAUGUUGGACGAAGGGAAAGUAAGACGCAGCAACUCAAGAGAAGGAAUGUUGGAUAACGGUAAGCUUAGACGAAGUAAUUCGCGAGAAGGCGUCUUGGAGGAGAAGCUGGUGGAGUACCCCCCUGCAUACAGUCGGCCGGGACAGCUCGCCAUCUCCAACGAGAGCCUGGCACACAUGAGCAACUCGGCAUCCGCUGGAUCAAUCAACUCGAUUGUUCCAGACGACGGGACGCUUCAUGCAACAAAGUCACCUAACUCGAUUACAUCAAAUGAAGGACUUCACUCACCCGUGUCUCAGUCUCGUCUUCACGCCCCGUCGCCGGGGGCCAACAAAGGACUUCCAGACCUGGUACCCGGAGGACCCAAGGCAGGGCCGGAAGGUAAGGAUCAAAAGCGUCAGUUACAACGAUACGUCCGCCGUACUAAGAGUGGAUAUAUUGGCAAAGUACAAGAUAUUGACAGGUAUCUUGGACCCGCUAAUAAGGACGAAUCUGAAAGCGGGGGUUCGGCUAAAAAGACUUCCGGCACCGAUAAAUCUGACAGGCCCCCAAACCUGAUGGACACUCCUGUUCCCAAACAUCCUGACCCUCUCAAGCCAUCUCCCAAUGUCCCAGAAGAAAAGUUGGUGGACAUUGAAGAGCCUAAGAAGACCAAGUCGAUUCUGUCAACACGUCCGAACGCCUCGCGGAAGAAAGCGGAGCCUGUGACGUCAAUGGGGUCGCAGGUAGGAACCACUGGACAGCAGAUGUUCAACGUCCUCAAAAAGAACAAAGGGUCAGUAACCAUCACAGAUAUCCUUGAACUCUGCUAUGGGCGAGGUGCAGGAGGAAAGGUCAUCAGGGUACCUGGAGUCACUGAGUCGGACUACAGUUUUAAGGGAUAUGACACCGUCAACGAUCUUCUGGAGAGCUUGAACGUCAACGUCAGAAAGCUCGAGGACUGUGCUCUACAGAUAUACCGUUAUCACAAUGGUUCCCAGGGAGACUAUGGGACGUACAUGGACCUGGAAUCCACCGUAGAUGAACAGGCAGAUGAACUUGAGGGCUUCCAAGACCAGAGGAAGAAUGCACUAAUUUUGAGAACACAACUUACAGUCCGGGUACAUGCUGUAAUUGAAAAACUUUUAAAUUCCCAUGGAAGAGAACUACGAAGAGCCCUCUUCUCCCUCAAGCAGAUCUUCCAGGACGACAAAGACCUUGUCCAUGAGUUCGUUAACAAUGAUGGCCUUGACUGCCUCAUCAAGGUCGGUUCUGAGGCUGAUCAGAACUACCAGAACUACAUUUUACGAGCCCUGGGACAGGUGAUGCUGUACGUGGACGGCAUGAAUGGAGUUAUCAGUCACAAUGCUACCAUCCAGUGGCUCUAUAACCUACUCUCAUCUAAGUUUCGAUUGGUUGUGAAGACAUCACUGAAGCUGCUACUUGUGUUCGUGGAAUAUACAGAAACAAACACCAUGCUACUUUUGAAGGCCAUAAAUGAGGUGGAUCGCAAACAAGGCUCUCUGCCAUGGACAAACAUAAUUGGAAUCCUUGAUGAGAAAGAUGGCGGGGACACAGAACUUCUCAUAUACUCCAUGACACUGCUUAAUAAGGUGCUGAAUGCUAUCCCUGAUCAAGACACAUUCUACGAUGUUACGGAUGCGCUAGAAGAACUAGGAAUGGAACAGAUCACACGUAUCUACAUGAACAGGAAUGGUGCUGACCUUGACCUCCUCACACAGUUCCAGGUGUACGAGGCGGCCCUGCGUUAUGAAGAUGGAGAAGAAGAAGAUGCAGACCUGUCACAGUUAGACAGUUUAAGACGGACACCAAGAAUAAAGAGUGACCAGGACAGCGUGAGGAAAAGUCGUCGCUUCUCCAUGGGAACAGGUCCCAAGAAGAUGAACAAGUCCAAGAGUGCACCAGCUCUACCCGCAGAGGAGAUCGAUCCGGCCAACGAGUACAUGAAGGUCAAACAAAAGUCAAAGGAGAACUUCCUAUUAAUGCCAGAAGAACAACACGAUAAACUUCCAGAACAAAGACGGCGACGGCAAAAGCUUGAUGAACUACAACAAACAGUAGAGGAGGCUAGACCGCCCGAUAAGCUAGGAAUGCCUCAAAACGUUCAAGUCAAUGGCACAGCUGAACUCUCACCCAACAUACAGUCAGCAUAUGUUCCUCGCACGCGGAGAGACCGGCGGGAAAGACAGAAGUCGUUUGUGAAAGAGCAGGAGUUAGAACGAAUACGACAGCGAUUUCAAGGGCGCAAUCAUGCUGGCGAUCGAUCAUCUGUGUCCAGUUCUGCUUCAUCGAGCACAAUUAGUAGUGAUGACCAACAACAGAUCAGGAACGGUUACUCCAAGGAGUCUGGUUACCUUAGUAACGGUGAUUUGUCCCAAAGUCAGAAUGGGUUCGAGUCUAGAAACAAUGUUAUUAAUGACAGCCUGAGUAAUUCAGUGUCCCCCACGGGACCACCAGGCAAUAACUCAAGUAACAGUCGCUGGGCCAAAUAUUUACAGACAAAGAAAGAGGAGACUACGGACAAGUCACCCGAACCUCAGCCCGAAAAUGACCCGGGCGUGCUCAAACGACAUCCGUCACUCAAAGGUGAUAGCUUGUCUCAGCGAAAGGAAAACCUGCAGCAAGGCCACAUCGGUAAUGCAAUACAGCGAAUGCCUGUCGAAGGUUUUGAUGCUGAGGAUAAAGACAAUGUAACAACUAAUAUUAGCCGCUUUACGGAAAAUGGUGAAGCAGAAACUGGGCCGAAAGAGCUAUCACGCCCCACAGGUGAUCUCAGUGGACUUAUCAGUAAGGCUAAGGGUGAACUAUCACGGCAAACUGUUGCCAAGGAACCACCCAAACCUACCCAAACUCCUACCUCUUCCCCAGAAGUGAAAUUAACUGAAAGUGACCUACAAUGGGACAAGAUGUGUAAACGGUUAAAAAGACCGUUAAAAAUAAAAGAUUUAGACUUUACAGAUCUCAACGAUGAAGAUGACUGUGAUGUGUUCGGCUCUACGGCCCCAAUAGGCAUGGGUAUGGGUGGUUGUCCUCCUCCACCCCCUCCAAUGCCUGGUAUGGGGUUGCCCCCACCUCCUCCCCCUCCUCCUGGUAUGGGGUUGCCCCCACCUCCUCCACCCCCACCAGGUGCCCCACCCCCACCUCCUCCCCCAGGGAUGAUGGGCAGUCCAAUGCAAGCCCCUGGUGUAAAUGUAAACCUGCCUCCUCCCCCUGGUGCUACUCUGAAAAAGAAGAAAAAGACCCUGAAACUCCACUGGAGAAUGGUUCAACCCGAGAUGCCACAUCCGUCAACCAAAGGGGAGACAAUCUGGAAAGACAUUGUAGAGGUCAAGGUUGAUCCUGACAAGCUGGAACAUCUGUUUGAGACAAGAGCAUCAGACAUGAAACAAAAGGAAUUGAAAACUGAUACAAGUGGAAAGAAAGAGAUCUCUGUACUCUCUCCGAAACGGUCAAAUGCCAUCAAUAUUGGUCUGACAGUAUUACCACCUCCUCGGACAAUCAAGGCAGCCAUCUUAAAGAUGGACAACUCCAUCAUGAACAGAGAAGGAAUUGAGAAGAUCCUGACCUCUAUGAUGCCGACAGAGGAGGAGAAGGCACUGAUCCUGGAUGCCCAGAUGGGGAACCCUGAUAUACCCCUGGGGACAGCAGAACAGUUCCUCCUCACAUUGUCCUCCAUCAGUGAACUGCAGGCCAGGCUCUCCCUCUGGCUCUUUAAACUUGACUACGAGACAGUGGAAUCAGAAGUUGCAGAGCCCCUGAGUGAUCUGAAGAAGGGCAUUGAGGAGCUACUGAAGAACAAAACCUUUAAAUACAUCCUGUCUGUGAUAUUGACUAUCGGAAACUUCCUCAACGGUGCUCAGGCGAGAGGAUUCAGUAUAGAGUAUCUGACCAAGAUUCCUGAGGUGAAGGACACCGUCCACAAACACUCCCUCCUGCACCAUCUAUGUGUCAUCAUCAUCGACCAGUUCCCUGACAGUACAGAUCUCUACUCAGACAUUGGAGCCCUGGGCCGGUGUUCACGGGUGGACUGGGAUGAGCUUGGCUGUAAGCUUGAAAAGAUGGAACACGAGUGCAAAGGAUCAUGGGAUCAUUUACGUGCAAUCAUAAAACAUGACGGGAGUUCAAAUUCAAGUAUAAAAACAAAGUUGUCAGAAUUUCUUUCAGAUGCAGCAGAAAGAAUUAUGAUUUUAAAAAUUGUCCAUAAACGGGUCAUGCAAAGGUAUAACAAGUUACUUUUGUACAUGGGUCUUCCCCUGUCGAGUGCGCGGGAUCUCAAGGUGAACUCCUUCUGUAAAACCAUUAGUGAGUUUGCCCUAGAGUACCGGACGACGCGAGAGAAGGUCAUUCAGCAGCUACAGAAGAAAGCCAAUCAGAGAGAGAGGAAGAAGACGCGGGGCAAGAUGAUUGUAGAUACCGAAAAUUUCUCCAGCUCCAAGUCAAAGUCCAAAGAUGCUCAGAAUGACGAGGCACUGCAACGUCUCCUGUCCAAUGGUUACACAAGUGCCGAUGACAAGGGCAUGCCUGGCCACAAACGCAGGCAACGAGGUCCACUUGAUUCCAAAUCCCAGUCGUCGAGAGGCUGUGUGACAACAGACUCUGAAAUGUAUGACACGGGAGAUGAUGAGAUUCUGGAGGCAUGUGUGCGAACAGCAGCAGCACCCUCCAGUAGGCCCAAUAGGGAACGAAAGCGGUCCAGUAAACAUCGUAAAUCAUUGACACCAAGAAUAGACACGAGAUAUUAAGUUUACACGUGGUUGCAGACAGGUAAACUUCUGCUAAAGUAAAGUCCAAAAACAUAGAACAUAGGUAAUCGCACACUAGCCAUGAGACGGACGCUGAAGAGUGGGCUCACAGCAGAGGAAUGGGA